CUAACGUCUGCUAAAUGUUGUGUGACGCGUCUAGUGUGUUGGUGUUAGUGUCUGUGUGCUUGUCACCUCUCGCUUUCAGCCAUCACCGCUGGCUAGCAGCAAUGCGAAAAGGGGGAAAAAAUUCUAAUGUCUUCCCCUGCCAGUACAUAGCCUCUCCACAACAAGUCCUAUGCGAUGCCUCCACGUGGAAGCAGACGGAUACUGGGUAUCAUUUUGUCCCAGGCUAAGUUCGCAAGGGCGCACGGGAAGAUGAGUCUCAAAAGCAUUGAGGAAUACUUUUAAGGCUGAACAGGAUCCUGAAGUGAGGAGGACUCCCUCUCUCAUUGAACUGCAUACAGCAGCAGAAAGCAGGAUUUCAGUUCCCCUUUGAUUCAGAAGAGGAACAACAAUAGAGGACCAAGGUCAUUAAUAUAAGAAGAGUUUAUUCCUGUCUGUGUUUUGCAGCAGAAGAAAGUUAAGAACGACCAGGAAUUCUAAGUGAGGAAGAGUCCCUUUCCCAUUCCGCUGCAGCCAUGAGGAGAAUACUCUAUUUUCAAGGAAUUUGACAAGGGAAGAGGACCAGUGCUGACCAAGUGAAGAAAAAGAAGAGUCUAUUGCCAAGCUUUGUACAGCAGCCAAUAUCUGAUUAAGGGGCAGGCGGUUAUGCUGGCAUUGAUCCUGUUUCCAAAAGCAGAUCAACAUGAUUCCUCAAGACUCCAAAGAGAUCAACUAUGGGACCUGAAAAUAAAGGCAGACUGCCAUCAAUUUCAUGUUUCUUUGAAAGCAGACAAAUAUGCUUCAACAAUAGUGCAGAGAGUAAUUUAAGGUUUGGACUGCAAGUGAUGGACACACUAAAUAACUCAACUCAAAGAAUUCAGUGGAUAGUGCUGAGUACAUUAUUAUAUAUCUACAAAGUGAUGGGCACACUUAAAAUAGCUUAACUGACAGAAUUCAAUGGACUGUGCUGAGAACAUUGUUAUAUAUCUACAAAGUGAUGGACACACUACUUAUUUCAAUUAUAUAUAUCUACAAAGUGAUGGACACACUAAAUAGCUUAACUGACAGAAUUCAAUGGACUGUGCUGAGAACAUUGUUAUAUAUCUACAAAGUGAUGGACACACUAAAUAGCUUAACUGACAAAAUUCAAUGGACCGUGCUGAGUACAUUGUUAUAUAUCUACAAAGUGAUGGACACACUAAAUAGCUUAACUGACAGAAUUCAAUGGACCGUGCUGAGUACAUUGUUAUCUACAAAGUGAUGGACACACUAAAUAGCUUAACUCACAGAAUCCAAUGGACAGAGUUGAGUAUGUACUAAUAUCUACAAAGUGAUGGACACAGUAAACAGCUUAAUUCUCAGGAUUCAGUGUACCAUGCUGAGUACAUAACUCAUUAAGGAUAACUCAUGAUCAUAUGACAUCCACAGCAGAUCACUCAAAGUUGUGAUACUACAUUAUUGUACAACUUUUCAUAUACUACGUUAUUUUUUCUGAAUGUUUUUUUUUUUUGUAUCUGUACAUUAUAUUUUUUAAAUUUAAAAAAGUUAAAGAUUGGAUUUUUAAGCAAAAAUAUCAAGAGAGGUAAAUCAGUGCUUGUCUGAAUAUCUAAGCUUAAGAGAAAGGGAGGUAAUUUUUUUUAUUGUGAAUUCUUGUCCAGAGCAUAUGCUUUCUCCCCUUGGUCCAAUGUGGCUAAUACUUCUCUCACAGAGUGCCACUGGUCAAUGGAUGUGUAGUGACCUUGAACAAAGUUUCUAGGCCAAGAGUCAAGGUUAAAACCCCUUUCAGCUACUUUACAUUUUUAUGUUCAUUGCUGAAAGUGGGACCCUUUGAGAUGGCCACCAUCUCAAUGAUAUCUAAUUUUAGUUUGAAAAUUGCUAGAAAAGAUAAAGUGAUCUCAUUGUAACAUUAUUAUUUUUUAGUGUUUUAGAUUAUAAAUAAAUAUAACAAUAUGCAAAA